UGUACGGCUCUAUCUGUAGGUGCUGUUUGAGCAAAGAAUUCUGGUGGGUGAGAAGGCUCAAGUUUGCCAACGAAGCUCCCUUGUUUAUACAUGUGAGAGAAGAAGAACGGAUUGGGCUUAUUGAUUCGGCGAAAGAUGUCAGUGUUUCCUGCUGCAGACGUUGCCUUGGCAAAAGCUGGCUCGCACGCUUUCGGAGGCGUGAUCUCGAUAGAGACAGCUUCUGAUGCUUUUGGUGGAAGCGCCGGCCACAAUGUCGUUGAAAGGCAGAAGUUCCGCCUCCCUCCUUCUGUCCGAUGCACGCUGUCUGCGCUAUUCGAACGUUGUUUCGGAAAAUUUGAAAAUUGAAAAUCUCUGCCUGUGUACUGUACUGCCAAGUCGAUAAAGGGGGCAGGAGCUCUGUCAAGCUUACGAGCUUUUUGCCUGUCUCCUUCUCUGUCCAAGAGAAAAAUAAAGAUUGAAUUGAAUUGAAUUGAGUCGUGAGGGUCACUCCAAACAGCACCGGGUGUUUCUGAGCCGCGCGUCACGGUAAGCACAAAAUGAGAAAAAAACGGCAUCAAAAGAAACCACCAACCGAACGCAAGAACUUCGUCGUCGUCUCCCACACAACCAUCC